UAACAGGUCAAUAUUCCUGUACCGAUGUGUAGUGCGAUGUGGGGACGGAGAAGGUUAACUCGGCCAACUGUUGGAUAUGUUGGUUCAAGCCUGUAGUCGUGCCUAGUAGGUAAAUCCGCCGGGCUUAGAUGAGGGGUGAUAACGAGGCUGCUUGCAGCCGAAGUGAGUAAUACCCUGCUUCCAGGAAAAGCCACUAAGCUUCAGCUACACACGACCGUACCGCAAACCGACACUGGUGCGCGAGAUGAGUAUUCUAAGGCGCUUGAGAGAACUCAGGAGAAGGAACUCGGCAAAUUGACACCGUAACUUCGGAAGAAGGUGUGCCUUAAGUAGGUGAGCUUGUACAAAGUGAGACCAAAGAGGUUGCAAAAAAUAGGUGGCUGCGACUGUUUAUUAAAAACACAGCACUCUGCAAACACGAAAGUGGACGUAUAGGGUGUGACGCCUGCCCGGUGCUGGAAGAUUAAAUGAUGGGGUGCAAGCUCUUGAUUGAAGUCCCAGUAAACGGCGGCCGUAACUAUAACGGUCCUAAGGUAGCGAAAUUCCUUGUCGGGUAAGUUCCGACCUGCACGAAUGGCGUAACGAUGGCCACACUGUCUCCUCCUGAGACUCAGCGAAGUUGAAAUGUUUGUGAUGAUGCAAUCUCCCCGCGGAAAGACGGAAAGACCCCAUGAACCUUUACUGUAGCUUUGUAUUGGACUUUGAACAGAUCUGUGUAGGAUAGGUGGGAGGCUUUGAAGCAGGGUCGCUAGAUCUUGUGGAGCCAACGUUGAAAUACCACCCUGGUGUGUUUGAGGUUCUAACCUAGGUCCAUUAUCUGGAUCGGGGACAGUGCAUGGUAGGCAGUUUGACUGGGGCGGUCUCCUCCCAAAGCGUAACGGAGGAGUUCGAAGGUACGCUAGUUACGGUCGGACAUCGUGACGAUAGUGCAAUGGCAUAAGCGUGCUUAACUGCGAGACUGACAAGUCGAGCAGAUGCGAAAGCAGGACAUAGUGAUCCGGUGGUUCUGUAUGGAAGGGCCAUCGCUCAACGGAUAAAAGGUACUCUGGGGAUAACAGGCUGAUACCGCCCAAGAGUUCAUAUCGACGGCGGUGUUUGGCACCUCGAUGUCGGCUCAUCUCAUCCUGGGGCUGUAGCCGGUCCCAAGGGUAUGGCUGUUCGCCAUUUAAAGAGGUACGUGAGCUGGGUUUAAAACGUCGUGAGACAGUUUGGUCCCUAUCUUCCGUGGGCGCUGCAGAUUUGAGGAAGCCUGCUCCUAGUACGAGAGGACCGGAGUGGACACACCUCUGGUGUAUCGGUUGUCACGCCAGUGGCAUUGCCGAGUAGCUAUGUGUGGAAGAGAUAAACGCUGAAAGCAUCUAAGCGUGAAACUCGUUUCAAGAUGAGAUCUGCCGGGGCCUUGAGCCCCCUGAAGAGUCGUUCAAGACCAGGACGUUGAUAGGUCAGGUGUGGAAGCGCAGUAAUGCGUUAAGCUAACUGAUACUAAUUGCUCGUGUGGCUUGACC
rnacentral:rRNA from 1 species